rnacentral:rRNA from 1 species
AUUGAACGCUGGCGGCAGGCCUAACACAUGCAAGUCGAGCGGAUGAAGGGAGCUUGCUCCUGGAUUCAGCGGCGGACGGGUGAGUAAUGCCUAGGAAUCUGCCUGGUAGUGGGGGAUAACGUCCGGAAACGGGCGCUAAUACCGCAUACGUCCUGAGGGAGAAAGUGGGGGAUCUUCGGACCUCACGCUAUCAGAUGAGCCUAGGUCGGAUUAGCUAGUUGGUGGGGUAAAGGCCUACCAAGGCGACGAUCCGUAACUGGUCUGAGAGGAUGAUCAGUCACACUGGAACUGAGACACGAUCCAGACUCCUACGGGAGGCAGCAGUGGGGAAUAUUGGACAAAGGGCGAAAGCCCGAUCCAGCCAUGCCGCGUGUGUGAAGAAGGUCUUCGGAUUGUAAAGCACUUUAAGUUGGGAGGAAGGGCAGUAAGUUAAUACCUUGCUGUUUUGACGUUACCAACAGAAUAAGCACCGGCUAACUUCGUG